rnacentral:rRNA from 1 species
UACGGGGGGGGCAAGCGUUGUUCGGAAUUACUGGGCGUAAAGGGCUCGUAGGCGGCCAACUAAGUCCGACGUGAAAUCCCCAGGCUUAACCUGGGAACUGCGUCGGAUACUGGAUGGCUUGAAUUCGGGAGAGGGAUGCAGAAUUCCAGGUGUAGCGGUGAAAUGCGUAGAUAUCUGGAGGAACACCGGUGGCGAAGGCGGCAUCCUGGACCAAUAUUGACGCUGAGGAGCGAAAGCUAGGGGAGCAAACGGG